rnacentral:rRNA from 1 species
GAUGGCGAGUGGCGAACGGGUGAGUAACAUAUCGGAACGUGCCCAGGAGUGGGGGACAACCAGUCGAAAGAUUGGCUAAUACCGCAUACGAUCCAACGGAUGAAAGUGGGGGACCUUCGGGCCUCACGCUCCUGGAGCGGCCGAUAGCUGAUUAGCUAGUGGUUGGGGUAAAGGCCUACCAAGGCGAUGAUCAGUAGCUGGUCUGAGAGGACGAUCAGCCACACUGGAACUGAGACACGGCCCAGACUCCUACGGGAGGCAGCAGUGGGGAAUUUUGGACAAUGGGGGCAACCCUGAUCCAGCAAUGCCGCGUGAGUGAAGAAGGCCUUCGGGUUGUAAAGCUCUUUUGUCAGGGAAGAAAAGGACUGGGUUAAUACCCUGGUUUUAUGACGGUACCUGAAGAAUAAGCACCGGCUAACUACGUGCCAGCAGCCGCGGUAAUACGUAGGGUGCGAGCGUUAAUCGGAAUUACUGGGCGUAAAGCGUGCGCAGGCGGUUGUGUAAGACAGAUGUGAAAUGCCCGGGCUUAACCUGGGAAUUGCAUUUGUGACUGCACGGCUAGAGUGUGUCAGAGGGGGGUAGAAUUCCACGUGUAGCAGUGAAAUGCGUAGAUAUGUGGAGGAAUACCGAUGGCGAAGGCAGCCCCCUGGGAUAACACUGACGCUCAUGCACGAAAGCGUGGGGAGCAAACAGGAUUAGAUACCCUGGUAGUCCACGCCCUAAACGAUGUCGACUAGUUGUUGGGUCUUAAUUGACUUAGUCACGCAGCUAACGCGUGAAGUCGACCGCCUGGGGA